AUAACAUGAUUGUCUCUAAAGAAUUGUCGAGUUAUAAACCAAGGUUUUGUUAGAUCUAGAAAAAAAUUAUCUUCCUAUUUCAGAGACUGCCUUCCCGGAGAUUCUGUAUGGAUAAUGUGGAUGUAUCAGUUAAUAGGGCGUGGGUUCAUCUUUGUGGCUGUCUGUGCUAAAAGCGUUGUUUCAAAACCAACCGGUGUAUGUAAAUCAAAUUUUACAGAUAGAAUGGAAUGCUGUUCUGAUUUCGUGUUGGAGGACGGCAUAUGUGCACGAAGUGAAUGCAGAUCGAGGUCAAAUUAACGUCGGAGGCCCUGUUGUUUAGAAUUGGAAACUCUGAGCAUAGAUUGAUCAUACAUGAUGAGUAUUUACUCAAGGAAUUACAUUUCAUGCCCAGAUAUGUUGGGCCCAAUCCGUCUUUGCUCCAACCAUCACAAACUGACAAACGGAUGGUGACCGUGAUACUGAUAGUAACAGCUGAGUAAGGCUACAUGUACCCCCAUCAUCACUGAAAGGCAACCGGGAUGCAGUCUUUAAAUCUGGAGUUCUGGGCAGAACUGUGCAUUUCUGGAACAAUGAUGAGUUUAAGUGAAAUGGUAAUUUGUCAUGAAUUUCUACAGUGGCUACAUGUACCCUGACCAUCUUUGAAAGGCAACCGGGAUACAGUGCAGUCUUUAUCUGGAAUUCUUGGCAGAACUGGACAUUCCUGGAACAAUGAUCAAUUCAAGUGAAACAGACUCGGGUGCAAGCAGAAAUUCUUGUAAUUACAGAAUGUAUUCCUUAAGAGAGGCAACAUGUGACCUGAAAACAAUUCUAUUCAGAUCUAUUUAAGGAAUGAAUUCAGUAUCUAAUUCAUCCAAGUAUAUACUGGGUUUGGGCAGUUUGCGCUUUUUUAAACUGCUAAGUGGUUUAUGAAAAAGCACAUUUUUGAACUUGCAAAAGAAAUCAGACCAACUGCUGAUAUACGUGGUUUUCAGUGAGUUAAUCAACGAUUAUCUAUGAAAAGUUAGCUACACUGAACAGUUUCUUUUUUUACAUGAGUAUAUAUACCUGAAACCCAUUGCACAUCAUAAGAAUUUUAUUUUAUUUUGGACAGUGCUCUUGUUGUAAAGUAUUAUGUGUAAUGCAUGUGAGUUGUGGACAGGGGUUUGUAGUCAUCUGAGAACAAGGAUUGGCACGUUGGGUGGACUUAGAGAAAUCUUCAUAUGCUAAACCCAGUUUUAGAAGAAACGAAGAAAGCAAACACUAGAUCAGUUCCAACUAAUAGAGCUGUCAAUCAGGAUAAGCAAUAAAACAUGCAGGCAACAACUUUAAGGGGAAAUACUCGCUAAAUGCGAGUUUAAAAUUGAAAUUGCGAGUAAAAAAUCACAAGUGAUCACAACUUUUUGCGAGUGAAAAAAAAACACGAUCUUUUUUCCAGAUUUUCGAGGUUUAUUGGCUGUACUUUGAAGUUUACAAUAAUUUUGUCUUGUGCAUAGAAACGCUUUACAGAAUGAAUAUACAAGUAUUGAAAAAGUAAACGUGGAUCGAAUAAAUAACUAAGGCCAAGGUCAUCUCAGUCAGUCCUACUUCAAGCACACUUCGGGCGUCUCAGUGACGUCUGAUUUAAAUAGCAAGCAUGUUGAUUUCGUCCAUGUCUUCAUGAAACAACACAUGACUGAGUUAGUGUCAUCGUUUCACUCUAUAGCCCAAAACUUCGAGUUCGCGGGGGGUUUUUUCCACUAGAAUUUUUUAGAUGAAAUUUCCAAAAGUUUUGAACAUAUUGUUUAAAUUGGCGCAAACAGUCUCCAAGAUUUCAAACCACAUGAUGUUGUAAAUAGGUAGUAGAUCUCUGGACAGCGAGUACACCGCACAAGUGUACCCUAUGACCCUCACCAUGCACCAUGCUUGUUGCCUGAUAAUUCAUUAAAUUUUAAAUGAAAGAAUUCUCAAUCUUAUUUUCAUUAUUGCACUUUAAAGAAGAUAUUAAAAGAUUUCCCCUAUAUUUUGAUAUAAAGACAUGUUUGUUUUCUUAAAUUCCUGUAAAACAGCAAUCGAUUGAAAAAUGCUAGUAAAAGCUUAAUUUUGCUAGUUGGAAAAUAAUCCACUAGCUAAAAUUUGCUAGUAGUGAAAAAAGUUAAUUUCGAUCCCUGACAUGUUGACCAAAUUGGCACUCAGCUGUAAUAAAACAUUGUAUGUAGGGAACAUGUACUAGAAGGAAAGAGCGUUUAUGUAUACAUUUAGUUUUUAUGUAAUAUUCAUUAAUUAUUAUUAUAUGAUUGAUAUUAAAUAUGUAAAUACUUA